UACGUAGGGUGCGAGCGUUAAUCGGAAUUACUGGGCGUAAAGCGUGCGCAGGCGGUUUGUUAAGUCCGCUGUGAAAGCCCCGGGCUCAACCUGGGAAUGGCAGUGGAAACUAGCGAGCUAGAGUGUGUCAGAGGGGGGGUGGAAUUCCACGUGUAGCAGUGAAAUGCGUAGAGAUGUGGAGGAACACCAAUGGCGAAGGCAGCCCCCUGGGAUAACACUGACGCUCAGGCACGAAAGCGUGGGGAGCAAACAGG
rnacentral:rRNA from 1 species